GAUGAAGAACGCAGCGAAAUGCGAUAAGUAAUGCGAAUUGCAGAAUUCAGUGAAUCAUCGAAUCUUUGAACGCACAUUGCGCCCGUCAGUAUUCUGGCGGGCAUGCCUGUUCGAGCGUCAUUACGCCCCUCAAGUCCCCUGUGGACUUGGUGUUGGGGAUCGGCGAGGCUGGUUUUCCAGCACAGCCGUCCCUUAAAUUAAUUGGCGGUCUCGCCGUGGCCCUCCUCUGCGCAGUAGUAAAACACUCGCAACAGGAGCCCGGCGCGGUCCACUGCCGUAAAACCCCCCAACUUUUUAUAGUUGACCUCGAAUCAGGUAGGACUACCCGCUGAACUUAAGCAUAUCAAUAAGCGGAGGA
rnacentral:misc_RNA from 1 species